AGUGCUGCCCAUGUGGAACAGAACCUGGAAUUUUAUGAAUCAAAAGUUGGAGGCCUCUCACAUCUGAUGUCUUCAAGGUGUGGAUAGACUGUGAGGUGUAUUUACAUGGGGCCAACCCCCAGCUAUUUCAGAAGACAAUCCUGCAAUGUUAGCCUCAUCUCUGUGUGUGCAACAAUGGAACUUCAAGCGAAAGUGAUGAUCUUACUGACACUGUUAAGCUCAAUGACUGUGGUAGAGGGUGGCUUCAACAGGAAGAGCUUUCCCCAGGGAUUCACAUUCGGCACUAGUUCAUCUGCCUACCAAUAUGAAGGCGCGGUGGCCAAGGAUGGGCGUAUGCCAAGCAUUUGUGACACUUACUAUGAUAUACCUUCAAAUACCUUGGAUGGAAGCAAUGCUAACAUUACUGUCAAUCAAUAUUACUUAUAUCCUGAAGAUAUCCAAAUGAUGGCAAAACUAGGAUUUGUUGCUUACCGCUUCUCAAUUUCCUGGUCCAGAUUGAUUCCAGAGGGGAGAGGAGCUGUGAGUGCCAUAGCAGUGGAGCACUACAACAAUCUAAUUAAUAGCCUUUUGGAAGCUGGUAUUGAACCAUAUGUGACUCUCAACCACUUUGACAUUCCACAAACAUUGCAGACUGAAUAUGGUGGCUGGUUAGACCAUCGCAUUGUAGAUGAUUUUGCAAACUAUGCAGAGGUUUGCUUCAAGUUAUUCGGGGAAAGAGUGAAGCAUUGGAUCACAAUAAAUGAGCCUAAUCUACAGGCAAGUAUAGGUUACGGUCAGCCUUACAUUGCUGCCCAUUACCAGCUUCUUUCACAUGCCGCUGCUGUAGCAAAGCUCAGGAAAAAUGAGGCCACAAAAAAUAGUUCUGUUGGAUUUCCAAUCAACCAAUUCUGGUACGAACCGUUCACAAAUAGCAGUGAAGAUCACGAGGCACAAUCAAGAGCUCUUGAAUUCACUGUAGGAUGGAUUUUUGAUCCAAUUUUUUUUGGGGACUAUCCCUCUUCUAUGAGGAGGAUAGUGGGCGAACGUUUACCCAAAUUUACAGAGGAAGAAGUUGAGAUGCUUAAGGGUUCAAUAGACUUUAUAGGCCUGAACCAUUAUAGCUCUGUCUAUGUUGCUGCCAAAAAUUCUUCCUCAAACAUCAGAGAUUACUAUGCUGACAUGCUUGUUGAAUUAAAAGACUGCAUUCGACACAGCUGCCAUGACCCUUUACAUUGUUCCCAAUGGCAUCAAGCUCUUGGUGGAGUAUGUGAAGAAUCGAUAUAAUAAUCCUGAAGUUCUCAUCCUAGAAAACGGUAAAUUCAACUUUAAUCUGGAUCAGAUCUUCUCUUGAAUCUAAGCUUUGUAGAUUUUGAUUAACUGGUGGAAACGAGACGACUGGAAUGGCAACUGAGAACAGUAAAACGAUGAAAGAAGAGUUGAACGAUACAGUGAGAGUAGACUUCUACCAUGACUAUCUCACAAAUUUGCUGGAGGCAAUAGAGGAUGGAGCAAAUGUGAAAGGGUAUUUUGCAUGGAGUCUUUUGGACAACUUCGAACUUGGUUUUGGCUUUACUCUUCGAUUUGGUUUAGUAUACGUGGACUUUGAACACACUUGUCUUCCACGUUACUCCAAGUUGUAUUCAUUGUGGUUCCACCAAUUCCUCACAUCAAACACCAUCUCUUUGCAAGAUAAAUCAUUUCAACAAGCUUAUAUUUGAUA